rnacentral:lncRNA from 1 species
ACGAAUUAGAACUGUUUCCACUGGCUGCUGCAGUUCAGUUCGACGUGCUAGCUGAUUAUGCGCUUUUCUAUCUUGAAGAGGAAUUCAGCUGAAGAAUGUAAAUGCUAUGAUGAAGGGCUAGUUGUUCUAGUGUCUCAUCUCUGUCUGUGUACCAGGCCAGCUCGCAGUGUUGAGGAGACAUGGAAGGGCAGGCAGGCAGGCCUCACAACAACUAAAGACCCCGAGUCCACUGUCUGUUCUGCCGUUAGCCAACUCACUAUACGGACUGCCACCGCAACGACAGGCAGUGUCGAGCUAUUUGCGCCUUCUCUCCGGACUCGUGCCACCCCAGCCAUUUGUCACCAUUGUAUAAGAUAGAGAGCGUAACGCAGGGUUGGGCAGGUCGAGCCAGCGAGAAAAGACAGCAUGGAAAUCGACGCCAGUGCAGUGGCUUUUCUAUACACGCGGUUUAGCCGGCUCCAUGUGGACGAACGUAUAUGUGUACGCGUAAUGCAACGUGGCAAACAAGUAACGUAAAAGACUAAUGUCUUUUACAUUUUUUUUAAAGAGGACCGUGAACAGAAAAAAAAUAGAGCGACGCCAUAGGCGGUAAGCGAUUGUAGCAUGGUUUGCUAAGGUGAACAAAAAUUAGUGAAGGAUCUAAAGUAAAGAGCACAAAGUAAAAGAAAACUUGCGUUAGCAGAGUGCAAUAUUCGGUGGGCAUUGGACGGUAUAAUGGAUUAAAAGUAAUAUAUUUAACCAUAUAAAAAGAAAUUCGGAGUAUUCUUUAGAAUAAAAUCCAUAUUUCUCCAUUUAAAAAUAUCCAAAUGUGUUCAUUUCUAUAAUUCUAACACACCAUGGAUGGUGAUAAUAAUAUAAAUCAGAUUUUUCGGCUGAGAUCUACAUUCUCUCAUUUUUUUCGUAACGUUCACAUUACCACAUACCCUGCUAAUGCUCUUAAUUAAAUUUUAAAACACCUUUAUUUGUUUUGCUAUAUAAUUUAUGAUGAGAUGCAGGAAGGUGCAUUUCAGCACAUGGACUGAUUUUUAACAGCAUUAACUAAAAAAUACCAUAUGAUUUACAUUCGCCCGAAUCGAGUCGACUGCUUGUGCUUUAUAAAUAGUUCCGUAGUGACUCAAUAUGCCCAGGAUGAUAGCUGGAUAACCCUCAUUGUAUUCAGCAGUCGUUGCGCUCUGAUUUGGCCAACACCCGAAUGACCCGAUUGAAACCUUCUGCGAGUUUAUUUCCACUUCAAGGCAACCGUGUCGUUCGUCUCUCCUUCGAAGGUCAAGACAAAUGGUCCCCGCGGAGGGACUCGAAAUGUAGGGGUUUUCACAGCAAAUACACACAAUACACACUUACUGAUCAAUCAGGUUAGACUUCUGCGAAGCCAUCAGCAGCCUUAGUUGCCCUUCACCGACAGCCAGGGUCUAUCUCAGAAAAGGCAGAGUGCAGCUUCAAUUCUACUCGGCUCGACGGAAGUCGGCUUUAUAAAGACACCUCUUUCGUCAGCAGUAAGGUAAUACGCUCGAGGGACGAUUACUGGGAUACAGAGGACCCAGAAAAGGGUCUCCCGGUGCCAAACUCUUCUAGACGCCGGCCGCUUCAAGUGGUUGACAAAGUUCUACGCUAACGCUGCGUGCGCCAUCAUAUAUACACUACCACCACCACCAAAGGUCUCCACCGCUGAUAGGUAAUUUAUUCAAGGUAAGAUUGUUUAACGGAUUCGCUAGUCAGAUAGAAACAAAUUGAGACUGUUUACUAGCGUAGUAGUCUUCUGGAGACUGCCACACAGCAUUAUUAAUAGAUAAAUCUAAUCAAUAUCGAUUUGUCUUGUUAGAAUUAACCCGGCCUACGCAAUUAGUUGAAAGCGA